AUCUUCAGUGGAGUAUAAACUGUCUGUGUGCUCCUGUGAGUUUUUCCUUUACUUCCUGACACUCUCACAUGACACGUCCUCUCUUGAGAUGCUCUGGAUUGCCAGGCCAAAUCAACUUGAAGCUCAGUGGAUCACCUUAGCUACAUGGUAACACAAGGUUUCUGUCCCUGCAAGAGAAAGAGGGGAGUUUAUCUUAGAGCUUGCUGCUUUAUCUUGCUCCGACACUUUAAUGAAGGGCACUUCAGUCAGCUGUGUGUGUGACUUCAAACCGAGUGGGUGAGAGGAGGGUCAAAUUUGAGAGAGCUCUCUUUUAAUUCAGCUAAUUUAGUUGUUUAUUUGUGCUCAACCUUUAUUUAUUUUUUAAAGAAAUCCUUGCCCUGGUAUCAAAACCCUGUGUUUCUUUUUAGCUGAUCCACAAUCGGGAUAGUAAUGUUCAAGCAAGAGAAGCUGAGAGAAAAAACAUUUAAAUUCAUGCCUGAGUUUUAUGUAGAUAUUCCUCAUGAAUCAAUCAAGUUCCUCUGUAAAGUAUAAAAUAUUCCAAGAGACUGGAAAGGAUAAUCUUCUUAGAGAAUACAUUUAAAUGUAGGAUGUAUCGGAUGUUUGAUGGAUGUAGUCUUACUCUUCAGUCUUCAGCCAAGCUUCAACCUUUUGUUGCAUUAACUAUCAUGUGAUAGAAAUGUGCAAAUCAAGUUUGCUGCACAACCAUCCUCAUCUUUUUGUACCCAAGAGCACAUCUGCAAGCCGUCACAGAGAAACCCAGAAAUUGGUCGAAAUAAUCACAUUUUUCUCCCCCUCCUGGCGAUUCCCUCCUUAUGAAAUCUGUUCAGAUCUCGCAGGUUGCACAGAAAUUUCCAUGUUGCAUCAUAAUGAAAACAUUGGAUCAAAGGAAGAAACUCUUUAAAAUCUGUCUCUAUAGAUUAGCAGUGAACCAGUGAGUAUUAAUUCACGGAGAACAAAAGGGGGUGGUGUGCUGCACAACUGUGUACAAGACACAGAAUUAAGCUUGUAGACAGCCAGGUGCACAACAUAAUAACUCUCAACCGUAUCCAUAAACAGGAAAAAAAUGCAAAAAAAGGCAGUUUACAGCAGCAGCAUCUAGGUAAAAAUAAUCAAAAGUGAUUCAUCUCUUCGCUUCGAUUAGUUUUCACCCUUGAGGGGAAGUGACCUCCGCUCAACAGAGGUCAAUAGUGCAAAGGUCAAGACAGUAAAAAUGACUGACUCAAAGAGCUGACGGUGAGUAUUUUACUCAGCCUGACACUGCUUUUAAUGGAAUUAUUCCUCUGAUUUAGGAUUUGCCUUUUUAUUGCCUCAUAAAGAUUGGGACACAAAAUUCAAGUCCUUCCUUUUUCCAAGGAUGCUUCAUAUGAUUUCCCUCUGAGAUUAAAGGUGAACUCCUGAGAAUAAAAUAAAACUCAUUUCAUGAGUGUAUUCAUAUAAAGGUGCUUUUAAGCCGACGAACAAAAUCUAUGAAGGACACAGUGAGCUGACAACUGAAAAUGUCUCAAAUACUGACAGACUCAUUAAAGAAAGCCAAAUUUCUACUGUGUGCCUCUCUCUCAACCCGCCUAUCCACCAACUUAUAUUUGACUGACAUUGCUUUUAACAAUUAGAAAUUUUUAUUACAUAGAAAGGUUAGCUUUCUUAAUUACAUUGAUGCUUUCUCUGGCCAUUAACCUUCUCUAGAUCAAGAAGUGGCUGAUUCAUUUUUGGUAGAUCUAUGUCCUUUUUUUCUAUUUUUGUAUUAAGUUCCUACAAGGAACUUUUGAUGUUGAUGAUUAGGACAAAAAAUCAUAUAUCUGCCUUUUUAUGACGUCCAUGACAAAACAAGACCACCAGCAACAAAUUAGAAGGUUUCUAUAUACUACUCCUAAUGCCUAAAACUGUUAUGAGGGAGUAGGUGUCAGUCCAGCAGUUGAAGAGACAGCCCUGUUUUUACAAUUUCUGUCUUAAUUAUUUAUUAUAAAUGAUACAUUUGAUUAUCAAAAGUCAGCAGGAUGAGUUUUUUAUUUGUCAAAAGUAGUAACGCAAGCAUGCAAAGGACAAGAUAGAUAAAGACUAUUUUGUCCACAGGGGGUGCCAAAUGUGACUCACACCAAAAGUUCCUCACAGGAGCUUUAAUGAUGAAUGAUGAUGAAUUUACUAUUUUUCAAGAAUCAAAGACAACCUGAUUGUUUUUUAAGGAUAGUUUUUACUGCCUUAAGAACAGCUGGAUUAACUAAAAGAAGUAAUUAGUUAUCAUAAACACAUAACAGUAUGCUUGUAAAAAGGCAGCAGACUGCAGGGAUCACUAUUUUUUUUUACAUAUGUAUAAAUCAGGGUUUGGUUUGGCUAAGAGGUUCAAUUGUGUUCUCUGUGUACAGAGGCUGUUGUCCUCAAAGUGGACAGAGUGGGUUCAGUUAUAAUUAACUUUAUUUAUAGACCACUUUCCAAAAACAAAUUACAAAGUGCUUUACAAGGGCAGUGAAAUAAAACAAGAAGGUCGUAAAAUCACACAAGGAAAGAUCAAGAAAUAACACACAUUAUAAAAGACAAUAAAUUCAUUUAGAAGAUCACUGAAUAAUAAGAGUCCUAAAAGAGUUUUGCAAAUCAAUUACAGCAACUAAAAUAGAAAUUCAAGUAAAUUCACAAUCUCCUUGGGUAGAUUGUUCCUGAGUUUAAGACCCCUCACUGUAAAUGCUCUAUCCCCUUUAGUUUUCAGUCUGUUUUUUGGCACACUCAGUAGACCUCUGCCUGAAGAUCUCAAUGUAGAUGUCUGCUUGCUCACUAAUGCAUGGUACUAAUAGGUCUGAUAGGUGACCAGGAGACGGACUACUGGGGGCUUUAAAAGUAGUCAGUAAAAUCAUAAAAUUAAUUUUUAAAGUGAUGUGAUCAUGUGUUUUGGGUCCAGUUACAACCCUGACACAUGAGUUCUGGGCAGUCUGGAGACAGUUUCUGUUUUAGUAAUCAAUGCUUGAUGAGAUAAAAGCAUGUUAAAUUACCUCAGUGUCUUUAAAAAGUUAAAUACAAAAAAUUAUAGACGCCUUUCUGAGAUGAUAAAAACAUGACUGUAUUAAUCUUUUUAUGUGCUUUUUGGAUGCUAAAUCACUGCCAAACCAAAAACCAAGGUUCUUUGCAGCAGGUUUGAUACGCUCCAACAGCUGAUCAGUCGAUGGCAGCUUCUGCUUUGUCAUUUGCUCUGGUCUAAUUAAAAUAAUCUCUGUUUUGUUAAAUUUCAGGUGUAAAAAGUUUGUUUGGAUCCAAUUUUGAAUCUCUGACUGACAAUCAUUUAUUGAACUCAGCAUGUCAGUGUCUGUGUGUCUAACAGAGAGGUAUAACUGAGUAUCAUCAGCAUAAAAAUGAAAUAAUAACCCAUGGUUGUCUAUGACAUUGGGGAGCAUUUAUAAAGAAAAAAAAUGGGACCAAAACAGACCCCUGAGGCACACCAUAUUUAUACAAUUUCAAUCAACACCCCCUUUGCUACAUUUGCUAUAUAUCAUUCUUCAUUUUCUGUCCUUUACACUAUCACAUCUCUGUCUCUUCGUUUUUGUCUCAUGCUGGUUUAAAGAGCCAGGUAAUAAAAGAGUUGCAAGGCACAGAUGUGAGAGGAGAGCAGGCGCUACUUCACUCUGAUCAUCUCUGGUUGGGAAAAGUGGAGCAGAGCUGGUGAGUGCAUCUGUAAGAUGCUGAUAACUACAGACUCACUUCAACCAUCAGGGGUAAAGAUGAAAGCAACAGUGUUUAAAGUUGUAACAUUUGUCUUGUGUAUGAUUAAUUAUGUGUAAGCAAAGCUCCAAGGAGAAGGAGAGCUAUUCAUGUUGAUAGAAGUGUCAAGAUGAAUAUUCCUGCUGUCCUGUUCACUUUUUUUAGGGAAACUUAAGAAGACAUGUUCAGUCUGACAGAGUGUAUCAAAUAAGCAGGCCUAUAUUUUAACUGGACAGUGAAUUAAAAUGUUUCUUUUUUUGUUUAUUUACCCUGUGAGAAGUCGGAUAGCAUCUAUUGCCAUGGAAAAAUGGUUGACAAUGAAACCAGAGACCAGAGUUUUUUUAAACUAUACAUGCAAAUCAUUGUAAAAUCAAUGACCUCACACUGUAAUCAAUAAUUUGUUCCAUAUUGUUUAUGGCACAAAUUAGGGAGUAUUUGCAUAACAACCUGCUCACCAUACAUCAUUUAAAGGUCGAUUGAAAUGGAUAAGAUAUUUUCGUAGAAUGAUUAUCCACACUAUUAAACCUUUAUUAGCAGUAUCAAAGACCCAGAGCACAGACGUUUCUACCACAAGUUUUUUCUUUUCACCCAGCCUAAAAGUCCUGAUUAUCAGUAGGGCUGGGCUUUUCAUUGACCAUGUGGGUGAAAUAGUUGUGUUGGCUAAGUGUGUUGUCUCAGCCACUAUGUUUUCUGUUUAUGUUUGCUUAUAAGCACCUUCAUAGCUCAGUUGGUAGAGCAGAGGACUGUAACAAGUUCCUCAUAUGAAACGCUGUGAUGCAAAGGUCACUGGUUCAACUCCCGCUCGAAACACCUGAUUUCAUUGCUUUGUGCAAUGUUCAAGCAUUGUCUUCAUCUGUCAGCUCCUCCAAAAUUUCAAAACACAAACAAAGUAACUUAUCAAAAAUCAUUUUUUCAUUCACCCAGCCUAAAAGUCCUGAUUAUCAGUUCUGGGUCCCUGGCAAUGACUGUUGGGUACAAACUGCAAAGCUUUGUUGUGCAGGUAGGGCUGGGCUUUUCAUUGACCAUGUGGGUGAAAUAGUUGUGUUGGCAAAGUGUGUUGUCUCAGCCACUAUGUGUUCUGCAGUUAUGACUAUAUGCAUCUUCAUAGCUCAGUUGGUAGAGCAGCGGACUGUAAGAAGUUCCUCAUGUGAAACGCUGUGAUGCAAAGGUCGCUGGAUCAACUCCUGCUCGAAGAACCUGGUUUCCUUGCUUUGUGCAAUGUUCAAGCCUUUUCUUCUUCUGUCUACUCCUCCAAAAUGUAAAAACACAAACAAAGUAACUCCUGCCUAACUUUCCAUGAUUUUUUCAUUCACCCAGCCUAAAGGUCCUGAUUAUCAGUUCUGGGUCCCUGGCAAUGACUGUUGGGUCCAAACUGCAAAGUUUUGUUCUGCAGGUAGGGCUUGGCUUUUAAUUGACCAUGGGUUGGAAUAGUUCUGUGGGCAUAGUAUCUCUCCUAAGCCACUAUGUAUCCUGCAGUUUUGAGUAGAGAGCACCUUGAUAGCUCACUUGGUUAAGCGGUGGACUCUAAGAUGCUCCUUGUGUGAAACGCUUUGAUUCUAAGGUUGUUGUUCAACUCCACCUCAAAGCACCUCUUUGUAACUGGUAAUACCCCCAAACCUUGUCUUUAUCUGUCAACUCCUCCAAAAUGUAAAAACACAAACAAGAUAACUCUUUCUUAAAUUUUCAACCAUCAAUUUUUUAUUCACCCAGCCUAAAGGUCCUGAUUCUAAGUUCUGGGUCCCUGGCAAUGACUGUUGGGUCCAAACUGCAAAGCUUUGUUCUGCAGGUAGGGCUUGGCUUUUCAUUGACCAUGGGUUGGAAUAGUUCUGUGGGCAUGGUAUCUCUCCUAAGCCACUAUGUAUUCUGCACUUGUGAGUAGGGAGCACCUUGAUAGCUCAUUUGGUAGAGCAGAUGACUGUAAGAUGCUCCUUGUGUGAAAAGCUGUGAUCCUAAGGUUGCUGGUUCAACUCCAUCUCCAAGCACCUCCUAGUCAUUGGAAAUACCCUCAAGCCUUGUCUUUAUCUUUCAACUCCUCCAAAAUGUAAAAAUACAAACAGGAUAACUCUUUCUUAAAUUUUCAACCAUCAAUUUUUUAUUCACCCAGCCUAAAGGUCCUGAUUCUAAGUUCUGGGUCCCUGGCAAUGACUGUUGGGUCCAAACUGCAAAGCUUUGUUCUGCAGGUAGGGCUUGGCUUUUCAUUGACCAUGGGUUGGAAUAGUUCUGUGGGCAUAGUAUCUCUCCUAAGCCACUAUGUAUUCUGCAGUUGUGAGUAGAGAGCACCUUGAUAGCUCAGUUGGUAGAGCGGUGGACUGUAAGAUGCUCCUUGUGUGAAACGCUGUGAUCCUAAGGUCGCUGGUUCAACUCCAGCUCCAAGCACGUCAUUGUAAAUACCCCCAAGCCUUGUCUUUAUCUGUCAACUCCUCCAAAAUGUAAAAACACAAACAAGAUAACUCUUUCUUAAAUUUUCAACCAUCAAUUUUUUAUUCACCCAGCCUAAAGGUCAUGAUUUUAAGUUCUGGGUCCCUGGCAAUGACUGUUGGGUCCAAACUGCAAAGCUUUGUUCUGCAGGUAGGGCUUGGCUUUUCAUUGACCAUGGGUUGGAAUAGUUCUGUGGGCAAAGUAUCUCUCCUAAGCCACUAUGUAUUCUGCAGUUGUGAGUAGAGAGCACCUUGAUAGCUCAGUUGGUAGAGCGGUGGACUGUAAGAUGCUCCUUGUGUGAAACGCUGUGAUCCUUAGGUUGCUGGUUCAACUCCAGCUCCAAGCACCUCCUUGUCAUUGAAAAUACCCCCAAGCCUUGUCUUUAUCUUUCCACUCCUCCAAAAUGUAAAAACACAAACAAGAUAACUCUUUCUUAAAUUUUCAACCAUCAAUUUUUUAUUCACCCAGCCUAAAGGUCCUGAUUCUAAGUUCUGGGUCCCUGGCAAUGACUGUUGGGUCCAAACUGCAAAGCUUUGUUCUGUAGGUAGGGCUUGGCUUUUCAUUGACCAUGGGUUGGAAUAGUUCUGUGGGCAAAGUAUCUCUCCUAAGCCACUAUGUAUUCUGCAGUUGUGAGUAGAGAGCACCUUGAUAGCUCAAUUGGUAGAGCGGUGGACUGUAAGAUGCUCCUUGUGUGAAAAGCUGUGAUCCUAAGGUUGCUGGUUCAACUCCAGCUCCAAGCACCUCCUUGUCAUUGGAAAUACCACCAAGCCUUCUCUUUAUCUUUCCACUCCUCCAAAAUGUAAAAACACAAACAAGAUAACUCUUUCUUAAAUUUUCAACCAUCAAUUUUUUAUUCACCCAGCCUAAAGGUCCUGAUUCUAAGUUCUGGGUCCCUGGCAAUGACUGUUGGGUCCAAACUGCAAAGCUUUGUUCUGCAGGUAGGGCUUGGCUUUUCAUUGACCAUGGGUUGAAAUAGUUUUGUGGGCAAAGUAUCUCUCCUAAGCCACUAUGUAUUCUGCAGUUGUGAGUAGAGAGCACCAUGAUAGCUCAGUUGGUAGAGCGCUGGACUGUAACUUGCUCCUUGUGUGAUACGCUGUGACCCUAAGGUUGCUUGUUCAACUCCAGCUCCAAGCACCUCCUUGUCAUUGGAAAUACACCCAAGCCUUCUCUUUAUCUUUCCACUCCUCCAAAAUGUAAAAACACAAACAAGAUAACUCUUUCUUAAAUUUUCAACCAUCAAUUUUUUAUUCACCCAGCCGAAAGGUCCUGAUUCUCAUUUCUGGGUCCCUGGCAAUGACUGUUGGGUCCAAACUGCAAAGCUUUGUUCUGCAGGUAGGGCUUGGCUUUUCAUUGACCAUGGGUUGGAAUAGUUCUGUGGGCAUAGUAUCUCUCCUAAGCCACUAUGUAUUCUGCAGUUGUGAGUAGAGAGCACCUUGAUAGCUCAGUUGGUAGAGCAGUGGUCUGUAAGAUGCUCCUUGUGUGAAACGCUGUGAUCCUAAGGUUGCUGGUUCAACUCCAGCUCCAAGCACCUCCUUGUCAUUGGAAAUACCCCCAAGCCUUCUCUUUAUCUUUCCACUCCUCCAAAAUGUAAAAACACAAACAAGAUAACUCUUUCUUAAAUUUUCAACCAUCAAUUUUUUAUUCACCCAGCCUAAAGGUCCUGAUUCUCAUUUCUGGGUCCCUGGCAAUGACUGUUGGGUCCAAACUGCAAAGCUUUGUUCUGCAGGUAGGGCUUGGCUUUUCAUUGACCAUGGGUUGGAAUAGUUCUGUGGGCAUAGUAUCUCUCCUAAGCCACUAUGUAUUCUGCAGUUGUGAGUAGAGAGCACCUUGAUAGCUCAGUUGGUAGAGCGGUGGACUGUAAGAUGCUCCUUGUGUGAAACGCUGUGAUCCUAAGGUUGCUGGUUCAACUCCAGCUCCAAGCACCUCCUUGUCAUUGUAAAUACCCCCAAGCCUUCUCUUUAUCUUUCCACUCCUCCAAAAUGUAAAAACACAAACAAGAUAACUCUUUCUUAAAUUUUCAACCAUACAUUUUUUAUUCACCCAGCCUAAAGGUCCUGAUUCUCAUUUCUGGGUCCCUGGCAAUGACUGUUGGGUCCAAACUGCAAAGCUUUGUUCUGCAGGUAGGGCUUGGCUUUUCAUUGACCAUGGGUUGGAAUAGUUCUGUGGGCAUAGUAUCUCUCCUAAGCCACUAUGUAUUCUGCAGUUGUGAGUAUAGAGCGCCUUGAUAGCUCAGUUGGUAGAGCCGUUGACUCUAAGAUGCUCCUUGUGUGAAACGCUGUGAUCCUAAGGUUGCUGGUUCAACUCCAGCUCCAAGCAAGUCACUGGAAAUACCCCCAAGCCUUGUCUUUAUCUUUCCACUCCUCCAAAAUAUAAAAACACAAACAAGAUAACUCUUUCUUAAAUUUUCAACCAUCAAUUUUUUAUUCACCCAGCCUAAAGGUCAUGAUUUUAAGUUCUGGGUCCCUGGCAAUGACUGUUGGGUCCAAACUGCAAAGCUUUGUUCUGCAGGUAGGGCUUGGCUUUUCAUUGACCAUGGGUUGGAAUAGUUCUGUGGACAUAGUAUCUCUCCUAAGCCACUAUGUAUUCUGCAGUUGUGAGUAUAGAGCACCUUGAUAGCUCAGUUGGUAGAGCAGUGGACUGUUAGAUGCUCCUUGUGUGAAACGCUGUGAUCCUAAGGUUGCUGGUUCAACUCCAGCUCCAAGCACCUCCUUGUCAUUAGAAAUACACCCAAGCCUUCUCUUUAUCUUUCCACUCCUCCAAAAUGUAAAAACACAAACAAGAUAACUCUUUCUUAAAUUUUCAACCAUCAAUUUUUUAUUCACCCAGCCUAAAGGUCCUGAUUCUAAGUUCUGGGUCCCUGGCAAUGACUGUUGGGUCCAAACUGCAAAGCUUUGUUCUGCAGGUGGGGCUUGGCUUUUCAUUGACCAUGGGUUGGAAUAGUUCUGUGGGCAUAGUAUCUCUCCUAAGCCACUAUGUAUUCUGCAGUUGUGAGUAUAGAGCACCUUCAUAGCUCAGUUGAUAGAGCGGAGGACUGUAAGAUGCUCCUUGUGUGAAACGCUGUGAUCCUGAGUUUACUGGUUCAACUCCAGCUCCAAGUACGUCAUUGUAAAUACCCCCAAGCCUUGUCUUUAUCUUUCCACUCCUCCAAAAUGUAAAAACACAAACAAGAUAACUCUUUCUUAAAUUUUCAACCAUCAAUUUUUUAUUCACCCAGCCUAAAGGUCAUGAUUUUAAGUUCUGGGUCCCUGGCAAUGACUGUUGGGUCCAAACUGCAAAGCUUUGUUCUGCAGGUAGGGCUUGGCUUUUCAUUGACCAUGGGUUGGAAUAGUUCUGUGGGCAUAGUAUCUCUCCUAAGCCACUAUGUAUUCUGCAGUUGUGAGUAGAGAGCACCUUGAUAGCUCAGUUGGUAGAGCAGUGUACUCUAAGAUGCUCCUUGUGUGAAACACUGUGAUCCUAAGGUUGCUGGUUCAACUCCAGCUCCAAGCACGUCAUUGGAAAUACCCCCAAGCCUUGUCUUUAUCUUUCCACUCCUCCAAAAUGUAAAAACACAAACAAGAUAACUCUUUCUUAAAUUUUCAACCAUCAAUUUUUUAUUCACCCAGCCUAAAGGUCCUGAUUCUAAGUUCUGGGUCCCUGGCAAUGACUGUUGGGUCCAAACUGCAAAGCUUUGUUCUGCAGGUAGGGCUUGGCUUUUCAUUGACCAUGGGUUGGAAUAGUUCUGUGGGCAAAGUGUCUCUCCUAAGCCACUAUGUAUUCUGCAGUUGUGAGUAGAGAGCACCUUGAUAGCUCAAUUUGUAGAGCGGUGGACUGUUAGAUGCUCCUUGUGUGAAAAGCUGUGAUUCUAAGGUUGCUGGUUCAACUCCAGCUCCAAGCACCUCCUUGUCAUUGUAAAUACCCCCAAGCCUUGACUUUAUCUUUCCACUCCUCCAAAAUGUAAAAACACAAACAAGAUAACUCUUUCUUAAAUUUUCAACCAUCAAUUUUUUAUUCACCCAGCCUGAAGGUCCUGAUUCUAAGUUCUGGGUCCCUGGCAAUGACUGUUGGGUCCAAACUGCAAAGCUUUGUUCUGCAGGUAGGGCUUGGCUUUUCAUUGACCAUGGGUUGGAAUAGUUCUGUGGGCAUAGUAUCUCUCCAAAGCCACUAUGUAUUCUGCAGUUGUGAGUAUAGAGCACCUUCAUAGCUCAGUUGAUAGAGCGGCGGACUGUAAGAUGCUCCUUGUGUGAAACAAUGUGAUCCUAAGGUUGCUGGUUCAACUCCAGCUCCAAGUACGUCAUUGUAAAUACCCCCAAGUGUUGUCUUUAUCUUUCCACUCCUCCAAAAUGUAAAAACACAAACAAGAUAACUCUUUCUUAAAUUUUCAACCAUCAAUUUUUUAUUCACCCAGCCUAAAGGUCCUGAUUCUAAGUUCUGGGUCCCUGGCAAUGACUGUUGGGUCCAAACUGCAAAGCUUUGUUCUGCAGGUAGGGCUUGGCUUUUCAUUGACCAUGGGUUGGAAUAGUUCUGUGGGCAUAGUAUCUCUCCUUAGCCACUAUGUAUUCUGCAGUUGUGAGUAGAGUGCACCUUCAUAGCUCAGUUGGUAGAGCGGAGGACUGUAAGAUGCUCCUUGUGUGAAACGCUGUGAUCCUAAGGUUGCUGGCUCAACUCCAGCUCCAACCACGUCAUUGGAAAUACCCCAAGCCUUGUCUUUAUCUUUCAACUCCUCCAAAAUGUAAAAACACAAACAAGAUAACUCUUUCUUAAAUUUUCAACCAUCAAUUUUUUAUUCACCCAGCCUAAAGGUCAUGAUUUUAAGUUCUGGGUCCCUGGCAAUGACUGUUGGGUCCAAACUGCAAAGCUUUGUUCUGCAGGUAGGGCUUGGCUUUUCAUUGACCAUGGGUUGGAAUAGUUCUGUGGGCAAAGUAUCUCUCCUAAGCCACUAUGUAUUCUGCAGUUGGGAGUAGAGAGCACCUUCAUAGCUCAGUUGGUAGAGCGGUGGACUGUAAGAUGCUCCUUGUGUAAAACGCUGUGAUCCUAAGGUUGCUGGUUCAACUCCAGCUCCAAGCACGUCAUUGUAAAUACCCCCAAGCCUUAUCUUUAUCUUUCCACUCCUCCAAAAUGUAAAAACACAAACAAGAUAACUCUUUCUUAAAUUUUCAACCAUCAAUUUUUUAUUCACCCAGCCUAAAGGUCCUGAUUCUAAGUUCUGGGUCCCUGGCAAUGACUGUUGGGUCCAAACUGCAAAGCUUUGUUCUGCAGGUAGGGCUUGGCUUUUCAUUGACCAUGGGUUGGAAUAGUUCUGUGGGCAAAGUAUCUCUCCUAAGCCACUAUGUAUUCUGCAGUUGUGAGUAGAGAGCACCUUCAUAGCUCAGUUGGUAGAGCGGUGGACUGUAAGAUGCUCCUUGUGUGAAAUGCUGUGAUCCUAAGGUCGCUGGUUCAACUCCAGCUCCAAGCACGUCAUUGGAAAUAUCCCCAAGCCUUCUCUUUA